UGUCAGGACUCAGCUGGCAGGGCUGUGCAGCUUGCUGCCAGCUCCGUAACCUCUGCUUCUUCACAGGUGUUCGUGGUCGGACGGUGGGCGGAGUGCGCACACCUGCAGCUCGUUCAGCAGCAUCUGAGCCUACUAUAAGAACUGCGUCCGAACAGCGAGAGGACGCCAGAGUGUUUUCGUUGCGGUUUCCCUGUGUCUUCGUGAACCCUGCGUGACUCUUGAGUUCCUCGACUCGAUCAGACGUACCUCUGCUCUGGACGCGAGUCACACCAACCUUCUCUCCGGUUCCUCUCGCUGCUCUGGAUCCCAGGACGCCCUCGGUGCUGCUCGGACCCCCUCGCCCCGCUCUCCGCCGACCCGAACGCCUGCUCAAGACAACCCAGCUGAGUCCUCCUACCGUCUCCCCGCUCGGUUAUCCAAUCCUCGUGUUCGAGCCGUCAUCGUGUUCCCGUCCCGCAGUCCAGCGCUGCGCUCCGUGUGCUCCCGUGUAAAUAAUAAAUCCUUGAAUUCUGACCUGUGUCUCCGAGUGUGUUUUCUGCAUGUGGGCCCGACAUCUCAAGGCAAACAUGACAGAAGAACACUCUGGCC